rnacentral:rRNA from 1 species
CCUACGGGAGGCAGCAGUGGGGAAUAUUGGACAAUGGGGGGAACCCUGAUCCAGCCAUGCCGCGUGUGUGAAGAAGGCCCUCGGGUUGUAAAGCACUUUCAGUGAGGAAGAACGCCUGGUGGUUAAUACCCAUCAGGAAAGACAUCACUCACAGAAGAAGCACCGGCUAACUCCGUGCCAGCAGCCGCGGUAAUACGGAGGGUGCGAGCGUUAAUCGGAAUUACUGGGCGUAAAGCGCGCGUAGGUGGCUUGAUAAGCCGGUUGUGAAAGCCCCGGGCUCAACCUGGGAACGGCAUCCGGAACUGUCAAGCUGGAGUGCAGGAGAGGAAGGUAGAAUUCCCGGUGUAGCGGUGAAAUGCGUAGAGAUCGGGAGGAAUACCAGUGGCGAAGGCGGCCUUCUGGACUGACACUGACACUGAGGUGCGAAAGCGUGGGUAGCAAACAGGAUUAGAUACCCCAGUAGUC